AGCCACUAACCUCUGGCAGUGCAGCUGAGGCCUGAAACCCUCCAGAAAGAGCAUAUCUUACCACGUCCGGCACAAUCCGAAUGGGAGUGUGUAACUUGCAACAGCAUGUCCAGAGUUGUGUUUAUACUGCAAACAGCCCAAGUGGGUCAGGUCUGCUUUUAUUAAACCCGCCGCUAACAACUCUCCAGUAUAACUGAAAGCGAAUGACAGCAGCAUCUAGCACUGUUCACUUUAGUUAUACAAUUAGGCGAAUUUACAUUAAAUCAAUCAUGGAAUCAUAGGAAGUAUCGCAGCUCCUUGAUGUAAGUAUCAAAACCAAAUACUUUCCUUUACACGGCUGACCUUUGUCAGCUCCGUGUAAACUGAACCAAUGAUGAGUCAUUGAGUUAGCAAAUUAGCUUCUCGUAGUUGUUGACAGGGUCAGCAGAAAAUCUGUGGCGUUUUCAACAACAACAAAAACGAACUGAUCUCUUAGGUACUGAAUAUUAUUACUCACUUGCUGCAUUCAGUCUUCAUAAUCUCCGAUGACAUUCAGAAAUCCUCAGGAGUGGAGUGGGAAGAAAAGGAGACCCAGUGUAUUUGCGCUAUUCUUUGUAUAACCGCUUGUAUGAAGUGCGAACAAAUUUGUGAUGCCACAAUGUAAAGAUUGUACCAGCUGCUCUUUGUGACGAUAUCCUUCCCCACGCCACAAAAAACCUUCCUGCACCUAUUAAGGUUAUUCAACUGUGUGUUGCUUCUUCAAAAAAUGAGAACAAGAUGAGAGCAAGGGCAGCUUAAGGUGCUGAAACUUGGAAGGGAAGGUGGGAUUGAAGAUGCUCACGACUUCCUCCUCACUGAGCCAAUUAUGAAUUAGGAACAGAUCCUUUAAAUGGAGAAAGUGUGGUUCAAUAAAUUAUGGGUUCUGGCAACUUUGAGCCAGAUAACAUCCUAUCUUGGGGUUAUACAAGGAAAACCAAAGGUUACUAAAUCUGAACAAAUAAUUAAGGAUCUUUGGAAUAAACAUAAAGGAGUGACAGGACAUAUACGCUUUCCCUGUUUUAUAAUGGCUAUGUAGAUUUAUAUUUAAGGUUCGAGGACACAUUCUGGUCAGGCAAAAACACUUGAGGGGGUGGAACAAAACCAGCGAUAUUUGCAACCUGGGAAGGGCCGUGGGCUGGGGAGAGGACCCACGUAGGAAUCAAAACCAGGGUCCUAGUGCAUACCCUUCAAUACCUUGAAGCCAAAAUCUGGGACGCCAUCUUCCUGGUUUCCAUCUGCUCUUUUCUUACCGCAAGAACAUGGCAGCCAUAUUGGUUGCUUUCUUUCAGGGGGAAAUUGGGCGGCAAAAUCACACGAGAUCACGCACACUUGCGGGGUAUGCUAGUGCCAGAGCUACGCCAUGAUGUAAGCUAUCAUGCUGCCAUCUUUGGUGCUGUAUACUAAAUGUUCAGAGCACACAGUCCUUGUACUAGUCACCCCACUUUUGGACUUGUCCAAGCAUAACUUAGCAAAGGAAUACUACUAAGGAAAGAGAGAGAGAGAUGUCCAGGGCUUUUAUAUAUAUAUAUAUAUAUAAACAGAACUCACUAGACCUCAGCUCAGGCACCUCUCAGGUAGACGUCAUUGCCAUCCUAAGAAAAAGAGGGAGAAGUUUGUAGUGAGUUCUGGCACCACUUUUUCUAGAAAAAUAGCACUGGAUGUGCCCUGAAAGCUGGGGCAAAGGCAUUUAGCUCCCUUCAUCAGGGAACACUUACUUAAUAUAAUACAUAUCAGAUAACUUAGUUCCUUAUUUAACACUGCAUCCAAAUGCAUAACUUCUAGGGUGGUCCUACUUUACAGAAGACUUUUUGAAGAGGCUGCCUGGUCCAAGUCCAGUUUAAAGAUCAAGAACCCCCCAAAAGAGGAGCGGGGGUCUUGAAAUCGCCCAUCAAAACUACAGCAGACUGAGCAGUAACAUAGGACACCAUGUCACAACCACCACCACCACCCCGAACACAGAGUGGGAGGUAUUGUAUUUCUAGUUGCACUAGUUAUUUCUGACUUUGCGUCGCUACAUAUAAAUCUGCACAUGCGACUUUGAUGCAAAUCAGCACCCACUUUUGUCCUCUUUUUUGAUGAUGUCUAAAUGGCCAACCUACUGUCUUCUCUUCCCUCCAGAGGGACUUUAUAUAACUGUGCUGGUCUUCCGAAUCUAUUUUGCUUUUGUGCCAAUAUGUUAGCCAACUCUGUUGUUCCUUCUAAUAUUUGGCAUUUGCUUUUGAAUUAUGCUUGUCCAUCUGUUAUUUGUCCUUUUCGUGGUGCAUUCUGCCCGUUCCGUUUGUUCUUCUUCGUUUUUUUUCUUUUUAAAAAAAACCAGUUACAUUUUCUACCACACCAGCACCGAAAAUUCUACCAGUAUAUCUGUUUUACUUUCAUCUCCUAUCUUUUCAGGUCUAGCCUGCACCUCCCUGUUCAGGGAAUAUGAUUCACCUGCACCUUCAUGUAUCCUUGGGUGACUGAAGGUGGGGCAGGUCAUCUGGGGCAAUGGAAGGGUGUGUACUUGGGACAAGGAAGCUGAGAGGGCGGGAGCAAGUCUGCAACUGAUUCCCAGUUCAGCUAAAAUCCAUUGUCAGAAAUCAGACCUCAGUGCCUUGAUCUCCUCAUCUCCCCCUCUCUGCAGCUUCCCCUCUGCAACAAUGAGAAGUUACAAGUGCCCCCACAGCAUUUGCAUGAAGGAUGACAGGACUUAACUGUGCAAUUGGAGGAGGUGCUGAUUUCAGCGCAACUUUCUCAAGCAUACCUUUCGCAGAAAAGUCAGACUUAAGAACAUAAGAAGAGCAUCCAGUGCUGCUUCCUGUUCUCAUUGUGGCCAGUCAGAUGCCUGUGGGAAGCCAGCAAGCAGGAUCUGGGCACAAGAGCACUCUGUCCUCCCAUGGCUUCCAGAAACUGGUUUUUGGAAGCAUUGUCGUCUCCAACUGUGGAAGAGGAAGAAGAAGAAGAAGAAGAAGAAGAAGAAGAAGAAGAAGAAGAAGAAGAAGAAGAGGAGGAGGAGGAGGAG